GUGUUUUUAUUUUUAUUCAGUUAAAAAUUCUAAUGUCCUUUUUCAUUUCCCCUUUGACCCAUGGGUUAUUUAGAAGUAUAUUAUUUAGUUUCCAAAUAUUUGUGGAUUUCUCAGGCAUCUUUCUGUUAUUGAUGUCUAAUUUAAUGCCAUUUUGGUGGGAGGAGAUACUCUGUAUGAUCUGAAUCCAUUUAAGUUUCUUUUUUGUUUUUUUUUUUACAGCAGCACUUUUAUUUUUCUUCACACAAUGACGUGUUGCUGGGGCCUAACGUUCUCACAUAACAGUAGAAAACCAAAAUUUGUUGUCCUCUCUUUUAAGAAUUGAGAGUUGUGUACAAAAAAAAAACCUUACAUAAAUUAAAAGGAUGAAUAAUACAUUUACAGGUAUAAAUGAAAACCACUUCCAACUCAAGGCAAGUAACAGCCCACAGUGCUCUGGCAGGAAAACAUCAGCUAAGAAAGGAAACCGGGUCCUAUAGCUUGGACUUUCCCACCCUGACAGACUGGCAGCCCUUGCCGGCCUCUAGAGCAAUCCCAGAACACUAAGCCCUGACACAUGAAUACCCUGCACAGCUAAGAGACUGCUGGCCAUGCACUCACCAAGCCAGACUUGUCUGCCCCCAAGCACAUUUUUACCUCAGCCACGAAGUGACCAAGCCACAUGUACUAAAGGUUGAAAUCAGAGAUAUGUACAGGGUAUUAAACAAAUAAGGGGAACAGUUAACUUGAAUACAAGGUCAAAAUCAGCAACAAGUUCUACAAUCCAGUGCUGAUAUCAGAUACAAGCUUCAAGGACAAUUUCUUUUCAAAGGCUUAUUCCAGUUUCAUAAGGCUAGCAUGAGGUGUAUGCAUUUGCCAGGGGCAAAUUUAUACUUCCAAAUUAACCCACGCAGCAAAUGCUACGCAUCUGCUCGCAGUCCAUGUAGACACAUUUGCGGUGGACGAUGGAGGGGCCAGACUCAUCAUACUCCUGCUUGCUAAUCCACAUCUGCUGGAAGGUGGACAGUGAGGCCAGGAUGGAGCCGCCGAUCCACACAGAGUACUCACGCUCUGGGGGUGCAAUGAUCUUGAUCUUCAUGGUGCUGGGCACCAGGGCAGUGAUCUUCUGCAUCCUGUCGGCGAUGCCUGGGUACAUGGUGGUGCCGCCAGACAGCACAGUGUUGGCGUACAGGUCUUUGCGGAUGUCCACGUCACACUUCAUGAUGGAGUUGAAAGUGGUCUCAUGGAUGCCACAAGAUUCCAUGCCAAGAAAGGAAGGCUGGAACAGCCUCCGGACACUGGAACUGCUCGUUACCAGUGGUGAUGACCUGGCUGUCGGGCAGCUCAUAGCUCUUCUCCAGAGAGGAGGAGGAUACGGCUGUGGCCAUCUCCUGCUUGAAGUCCAGGGUGACAUAGCACAGCUUCUCCUUGAUGUCACGUAUGAUCUCCCGCUCGGCCGUGGUGGUGAAGCUGUAGCCAUGCUCCGUGAGGAUCUUCAUGAGAGUCUUGCUUUGGUGCCCAGCCUGGAGUGCAAUGCCACCAUCUCAGCUCACUGCAACCUCUGCCU
rnacentral:lncRNA from 13 species